CCAAUUCCAGAUGAAGAACUGGUCUCCUAUAUCCUUGCCAGGCUUGAUAUGGAAUAUCAGCCACUGGUGUCGGCACUUGAUGCUCGCACCACCAUGGUCUUCCUUGAUGAUCUGUUUGCUCAGAUGAGUAACUUUGAUC
rfam:Hordeum vulgare subsp. vulgare, WGS project CAJW01000000 data, contig: morex_contig_58672